rnacentral:lncRNA from 1 species
AAAAGAAAUGAGAACCAUAAACGUAAGAAAGAAAAUUUUAAAAGGAACAAUAUAUUUGUAUUAUCAGUUUGUUACCUUUUCUUAGCUCACCUCUUUACCAAAUUGAAGACUGGUUAUGAUACAACAUUCUUUUGUAGCAAUUGAGGCUCACAGUUCUAUUGUAAUGAGCAAUAUGAAAAUAAGUCAAAGUGAUACUCAGAGCUUUGAGGAUAUACUAAUAUGGCUCUAUGCUGGUACAAGUUCCUUCCCUCUGCUGAUCUUCAAUAUUUGAAAAGGCCAGGUAAGCACCCUGAUGAGGUUACCUAGCCAAUUCCACAUAAACUGGAGAUGAUGCCAGAGAGACCUUACUCAGUUUUCCAUUCUAUUUUUCACCCUGUGAUCUUUUGAUGAUGUUUUACCCGCUUCUUUCAGAUUUACUUUCUGUGCUGAGACCAAAGCAGAACCUCUGAGUCAGGAAUCUCCAUCCAUGACUGAAUAACCAAUAACCACCUUAAGAGGAAUAAAAUAAAUAGAUUCC